GGAGCAGCAGAGAUACGUCGACGAGCUCGGCCGAAAAGCGACAACGCUCAGCCGUUCGAUCCAAGAUCUACGGCUCAGAUUGCCUCCGCCGGAUAUCUCUCAGCGUCUACCUCACCUCCUCGCUCACUCCCUCGCUUCCAACGCCGCUCUCGCUCUCCAGCUCGAUUCGCAUUCCGCUACUCGUGAACAGGUGCUUCCCUCGAUCUCUGCUAAUGAAUUGAAUAUGCCUUUGUGGUAAUCGAUCCUCUUUUGAUUUUUCGAUUAGGCUCAAGUGAGAGAGCAGACAUUGCUAGAAGAAAACAGUGCGUAUGAGAAUGCAAUAUCGAUCUGUGAGGCGAGGAUAGAGGAGAAAACGCAUGAAGCAGAUUCACUUCUUAGAAAAUUGAAGGUGUGUAAAGCUGAACCAGAUGAUUAGAUCUUUGUUUAGAUUAUGAAUCUUGGAUCUGCUUGGUUUUUAGGAGCUAGAAGAUGUUGAGAAGAGCUUGAAAGCUGAGCAAGAAGAUGCACAAGCUUGAGAGAGCUGUGGCGAAGAAUGGGGAGACGCUGACUCAGCUUAAGGCGCUUGUUGAUGAGCAAGAGAAGGAUGUGGAGAGGGUUAAGCAGAGGGAGUUGCUUUUGACGAAGGUUGAUUCGAUGAAGAAGAAGCUGCCGUGGCUGAGGUAUGAUAAGAAGAAGUCGGAGUACCAGGCUGUUAAGAGACGAAGACGAAGAAGAAGUUGAAGGAAGCCGAGAAGAAAUUGGAUGAGGCUGCGAGGAAUUUGAGCGUUGUGAAGGAGCGUGUUGAGAAGCAGAAGAAGGAGAGGGGAAAGAUGGAGUCGAAAUGCAAAAAGGUUAAUAAAGUUCUGGUGACUAAUGGGUAUAAGCGUUCGGAUUUGCUCGAGAAAGAAAAUGAGGCGGAAGCACGUGUAGUGGCAACGUACAAAGAGCUUGAGGAGCUGAAGAAACAAGAAGAGCAUCGCCAAGAGAGGAUUCUGAAAGCUACUGAGGAUCUGGCUGCUGCGGAGCAAGAUCUCAAAGACCUGCCUGUAUAUGAACAACCUGUAGCCAAACUUGAAGUCUCAGGUUACAGAGCUGCAUCACAACAUUAACCGGAAGAAGAAUCAGAAGGCGGAGAAUGAGACCCUCUUGUCUCAGAAAAGACACACCCUGCGGCAAUGUGUAGAUAAGCUGAAGGAGAUCGAGAACGCAAAUAACAAACUCUUGAAUGCGCUGCUUCGCUCUGGAGCUGACAGGAUUUAUGGGUGCAGCAGAAUCGUCAUGAGUUUAAAAGGGAAGUAUAUGGUCCCGUUUUGCUAGAGGUUAACGUCCCAAACCGGGAGAACGCUUGCUAUUUGGAGGGUCGUAUUUCUUAUUACAUCUGGAAGUCUUUUAUCACUCAGGAUCCCGAGGACAGAGAUUUGUUGGUUAGGAAUCUAAAACGCUUUGAUGUUCCUGUUCUAAACUAUGUGAGAGAUAGCGGCAACCACUCAGCUCCCUUUCAUAUCUCUGAUCAUAUGCGUUCUCUUGGCCUUCAUUCUCGCCUUGAUCGGAUAUUUGAUGCUCCUGGCGCUGUUAAGGAGGUUUUAACUUCCCAGUUUGGUCUGGAUGACUCGUACAUUGGAUCGAAGAUAACUGAUCAGAGAGCUGAAGAAGUAUCCAAAUUAGGUGUCACUGAUUUUUGGACACCGGACAAUCACUACCGGUGGUCUUCCUCAAGGUAUGGUGGACAUUCCUCUGAGAUCAAGAAAGGAGGAACUAGAAGACUCUAUAUCAUCCAUUGAAGAAACUCGCAAGAGUCUUCAAACAGAGCAAAGACUGUUGGAAGAAGAAGAAGCUAAACUCCAUAAAGAGAGGGAGGAGAUUAUCAACAUCUCGCAUAUGGAGAAGAAAAAACGCCGCGAGUUGGAAUCUCGUUACCAGCAAAGGAAGAAGAAGCUUGAAUCCUUGGAGCAAGAAGAGGACAUGGAUGCUUCAGUUGCUAAGCUGAUCGAGCAGGCUUCCAAAGCUAACGCUGACCGCUAUGCAUACGCGGUCAGUCUCAAGAAGCUGCUCGUGGAAGCUGCUGCUAAUAAGUGGAGUUACGCCGAGAAGCAUAUGGCUUUGAUUAAACUGGAAAGAAAGAUCAGAGAGUCAGAGAUCAACAUCAAACAGUACGAGAAGACGGCGCAGCAGGCAUCCCUCAGCGUUGAGUAUUGCAAGAAAGAGGUUUAAGAAAAGCAACUGCAGCUAGCAGCUGCUAAGAGGGAUGCAGAAUCUAUCGCAAUCAUCACGCCACAGCUUAAAAAGGAGUUUAUGGAGAUGCCAACCACGAUAGAAGAGCUGGAAGCUGCUAUACAAGACAAUUUCACUAAGCCAACUCGAUCCUCUUUGUAAACCAGAAGGUCCAGAACAUACUCCAAGAGUAUGAGCAUCGCCAGAGCCAGAUAGAAACUAUUACCACAAAGCUCGAGGCUGAUAAAAGAGACUUGAGCAGAUGCUUGAAAGAAAUCGAAUCUCUGAAGGAGAAAUGGCUUCCAACGUUGAGAAGGCUUGUUGCUCAGAUAAACGAAACUUUCAGCCAUAACUUCCAAGAAAUGGCUGUUGCAGGAGAAGUUUCGCUGGAUGAGCGUGACACUGACUUUGAUCAAUACGGGAUACAUAUCAAAGUGAAGUUCAGGGAAUCUGGGCAGCUUCAGGUUCUAAGUUCUCACCACCAGUCUGGAGGAGAGCGUUCUGUGUCAACCAUCCUCUACCUCGUCUCUCUUCAAGAUCUCACAAACUGUCCUUUCAGAGUUGUUGAUGCGAUUAAUCAAGGUAAAAAGUGUGAAGCUUUAUAAAAGAAACUGUCUGCUAAAAGUUUCUAAAAAUCUGCAAUUGGCUUCUGCAGGUAUGGAUCCUAUAAACGAAAGGAAGAUGUUUCAACAACUGGUUAGAGCUGCUAGCCAACCAAACACACCGCAGUAAGUUUUCCUUGGAAAUUGCUCUGAGAAUCUGUUGUCUUGUGCUUUGCAUUAUAUGUCUCGUUUAUGGAAUUUGUGUUGAAAAGUAAGAAACAAUGUGUUUCUCGUGUAGGUGUUUCUUACUGACGCCAAAGCUGUUGCCUGAGCUUGAGUACAGUGAAGCGUGUAGCAUACUGAACAUCAUGAACGGUCCUUGGAUCGAGCAGCCUUCGCAAGUUUGGAGCUUUGGUGAUAGUUGGGGAAAUCUUAUGAGGCGAACCGAAGCGAGUUAAUGCAUCUUGACUUCACCAAAACAGUAUCAUCUUUUCUAUUUUGAGUUUUUUUUUUGGAAAACCUUGCAUCUAAUGUUUUAUGCUAUUUAACCAACCGGUUCAAUCAGAUUGAACCAUAACCGGUUUAAAUAUGUUACUCGUUGCUUGGUUUACAGUCUUAGUCAAGGUCAGUGAAACCGAUAUUAUGUCCUACGACUAUUUUUCUCUUUUGUGACAAUGCCGUGGGGACAUCACUGACAUGAGCUCACGUUCUCCUCACCUUGUCUGUUUCUUGUGAGUAACGUCUCGUCUCAAACACAAGACGUUUCAUCUCGAAUAGUAAGACGUGUCGCCAUAUGAUUGGCUUAUUUAUUUCACUUUUCCAGCAAUUUAAAAUGGUUUAAAAAUCCUUUAAAUUUCUUGUUUGACUUUAGAUAAUUACUUAAAUACCGCUGUUAAUUAUUUUUGUGGUCAGGAAUCGCCGUAGAUUUGUUUUAGAAGAAGCUUUUAAAAUCAUAAAACUUAUUAAUUUCUUGACAAUAAUAGCUGAUUUUUUUUUAAAAAGGAUUUGUUGCUCUUUAUAGUUGCGUGGUCAAGAAUGAGUUAUUCUUGGGUUCACCCCCUAGGGUGAACCUUUAGGUUCACCAACCAAUAUAAAAUUGUCAUUUUAAAUCUAGUAUCUUUUAAUUAAGGAAACCAAAUAACUUGGCAAAUUAUAUUAUUUUUUCAAAAUAAAAUUUAAAAAUAAAUAAAAAUAAUAUAUAAAAAACGAAUUCAAAAAAAAAAUAAUGUUGUCAACAAAACACUAAACCCUAAACUCUAAUACUAAACCCUAAACUCAAAUCCUAAACCCUAAAUCCUUGGGUAAACCCUNNNNNNNNNNNNNNNNNNNNNNNNNNNNNNNNNNNNNNNNNNNNNNNNNNNNNNNNNNNNNNNNNNNNNNNNNNNNNNNNNNNNNNNNNNNNNNNNNNNNNNNNNNNNNNNNNNNNNNNNNNNNNNNNNNNNNNNNNNNNNNNNNNNNNNNNNNNNNNNNNNNNNNNNNNNNNNNNNNNNNNNNNNNNNNNNNNNNNNNNNNNNNNNNNNNNNNNNNNNNNNNNNNNNNNNNNNNNNNNNNNNNNNNNNNNNNNNNNNNNNNNNNNNNNNNNNNNNNNNNNNNNNNNNNNNNNNNNNNNNNNNNNNNNNNNNNNNNNNNNNNNNNNNNNNNNNNNNNNNNNNNNNNNNNNNNNNNNNNNNNNNNNNNNNNNNNNNNNNNNNNNNNNNNNNNNNNNNNNNNNNNNNNNNNNNNNNAAAAAAAAAAAAAAAAAAAAUCUUUGAUAUGAGUUCACUAAUCCAUCUCAACCGCAUAGUGAUAGAUGUAAGGUCCAGAGAAAUAAGAUACAGUUUGAUCAUGUAACCAUCGUAAGAGCUUACCAAGUAGCUAUAGCCUAUAUGAUAAAAAGAAACAAAAGAGUGAAAAAACUAAUACUAACGUUCAUAUCAGACCGGUGACUUGUCAUUAUCCUCCUCCUCGGGGAACAUUCCUUUCAAGAGAAAGGUAUUGAGAAGCAGCAAGGCAGCUAAGAGACCAUAAGCAGUCCAAACAGGUAACUGGUAACUUAAAUACCCAACCAAACACAACAUCAAAUACGCGUGGACAACAUGUUGUAUAUAGACAGAUUUUAAAGGCGUAGAGAGUUGAAAGACGGCCAAAUAUCCAGCGAAAAUCAUAAAAUUGCAGAUACAAAAUUCUAUCAUGCGAAAGUAGGAGCAUGUGGAGCACAUCAUGAUCAUCAUAACCCCGACGGCGUAAGGAAAAUAAUGUCUUGUAGCUCCCGAGUUGUGAUGAGUUGGUUUAGGUCUAGGUGUUGGAACAGGAACAUAAAACGAGCUCACCACCUUAAACGCAAUAUAAGAGAACGGUGGUACUGAGCAUAUCCCUAAGGCGCUUGAUUCGUCUUUCAAAGUACUGGACCACGAAGAAGUAGCCAGGAGUGCGACAAUUAACCUAGUUAACCAACCCACGCAUACUAACGUGCCUAUUCCUCGAUAUAACCAUCUCGUUUUUGAGCAGUUCACUCCUUUGAUUAUUAUCGUUUCACAACUCAUGUUCGAUGGCUAGAAUUGUGAUGAUGAUAAAGGAAGUUUGGCCCCUCUCUAAUCCUUUUAUAAAGACUUUCAUCCGAGGAAGUCUAUUAGGACUAGGAAACAUUUACCCUAAAUCAACUAUGAAAACAUGUUUGAUUAUGUUGCCAAGGAGUGAGAGUACUUAAUAUGGGCCCGUCUCUGAUUCUUUGUUUUCUUAAUGGGCUUUAACGAGCUUCAUCUUUAAUAGUAGGCCCAAUAAAAGCUGAAAUCUGUUGAUGGCGGGGGUGGAGGUCAAACUAUCUCUCACUUGCAAAGUCACAAUCAAUCUGGGUGGUUUUUGGAUACAUUGAUCACUAGCAUGUGCUUUUCGUAUAUCUUUACAUCUUGUUGGAUUAUUUGUUUUGUUGGAUAACUUGUCUUAGGAACCUAUAAGCCUAGAUAUUAAAUAUAAUUAGAUCGUUGCUAAUAACAUUUACGAGCAAAAGCGAAAUCUAUUCAUCGGAAUGUUUAUCGAAUGGUAGGUACAUAAAGACUUGAGCAGCUUAAUCAUGGAAGAACCUCAGAUAAGCUUAGCUAUACGGCCCAUUCCAGAUGGCAAAAGGGCAUCCUUAGUUGCAAUGUCACUUCUUCUUUUUGAUGUCACUUGUCUUUCGUUAAUUAGCAUAUACCUUGGAAAGGUGAGCAAGUACAGCUCUUUAUUCUAAAAGAUAAGAGCAAGAUUCAUCAUUUGUGUUUAUGCGGAUGGCCCACUCGUAUAUAUAUAUAUAUGUAUAUUAUUAUAUACUAUAUACUAAAUAGCUUAUGGGAAUGCAUAUGCGAUGCUUCAGCCACUUCCAAUGCCAAUUGAGAAGGAGAAUAUAUAUUGCUGCAAAAGUGACUUGAGAAGGAGAAUAUAUUGCUGCAAAAGCUUAUGGGAAUGCAUAUACUAACUCUUAUAUUCUUUCCAUUCUUUCUUAAGCAAUAUAGACAUGCAGUUUAAAAGCCUCAACUUCCAUAUUCCCUUCACGCUAAUUUGUGACUUUUACUUUUUCACGUCAAUAUUUUUUUGUAAAGUCAUUAUAAGUUUAAAAGUGUUGGCAGUCAAAGUCCUAAACAAUCUUCACCUUCCCGCCGUCAGAAGUUUUUGGCGAUAAUCCCGAGCUAGCUAGGGUUUGGUUUCUGAGCUAUUUUUAUAAGUGUUAGGGACGUUGGAACUUUAUAUCAAAGCUUAAAGCGUGGUUUUGUUUGGUUGGUGAUUUCGUUUUGGUUAUGGUUUUGUGAGCGAGCAGGUCAGAAGACAUGGAAGAGAAGAAGAAUGCAGACGAUAGAAUCAUCAACGACAAUAUAUUGAUACCUCCUGCUCCCCCAGUACUAGGCCUUGGGCGUGGUGCUCCUCUUUUGAAACCCACUCCACGACGCCGUGUCAAUGGCAACGUACUGUCUCAGCACCCUACCACUACCACUGCAGAGAUCGAUGAGACCAGGGUCAAGUUUCUGAGGCUUUCACACAGAUUAGGGCAAACUCCACGUAACAACGUUGUUGUUGCUCAGUUUUUGUCUAGGGGAAGUAGCCGUGUUGGUGGUGCCGCCAUUUCCAUGGCGGAACAGCUUGAGAGACAGGAUCAUCCGCUUGAUUUUUCUUGUACGAUUAUGUUGCUCGGUAAAACCGGUGUUGGCAAGAGUGCUACGAUUAAUUCUAUUUUCGAUGAUGAUCAUGAAGUGAAGAAGAUGUGUACCACCGAUGCGUUCCAGAUGGGGACGAAGAGGGUUCAGCUUGUUGAGGGUUUUGUUCAGGGAAUCAAAGUCCGGGUGAUCGACACUCCAGGCCUCUCACCAUCAUGGUUUGAUCAACACAAAGAACGUGAAAACCCUCAAGUCUAUUAGGGCUUUCAUCAAAAAAAAAGUCCACCGGAUGUUGUUUUAUAUCUCGAUAGGUUGGAUACGCAAACGCAAAGCAUAGAUGACGACAUGCUUCUUUUGCGCACCAUUACCCAUGUUCUUGGACCGUCGAUAUGGUCUAACGCCAUCGUGGGUUUGACUCACGCCGCUUCCGCUCCACCAGAUGGCGCUGCCUCUAGCUACGACAUGUUUGUAACACGACGUUGUCUUGCCAUUCAGCUGGACAUUCGCCAAGCAGCUCGAGAUUUGCGGCUCGUGAACCCUGUGUCUUUAGUUGAGAACCACCCUGCUUGCAGGACCAACCGGGCGGGUCAUAGAGUGUUACCGAAUGGUCAAGCGUGGAAGCCUCAUUUGCUGUUACUCUAGUUUGCAUCCAAGAUUCUAGCACAAGAAAAUGCAUAUGAUCGUAAUUAUAAUAGUCGACCAUUAGUUGUGGAAUCCACGGCUCAACCACUGUCACUUUUUCUCUCAUCUCUUCUGGAAUCACAUCAGCUUCCUCCUCCUUUUAAGCGAUUGACUGAAGCUGAAAUUUCUAGGCUUAGUAUCAGAAGGAGCAGUAUCGUGUUGAGUUUGAGCACCAGGCGGAACUAGAGAUGGAAGAGGAAAACGAGAGACGUCGACCUCAUAUUACUCUUCCACCUACCAUGCCAGUACCUAUACUGAUAUGGUAUGACACUAACAAUCAUCCUGUUCGCACCCAUCCACCUAUUGAACUCUCCAACCCGUUGCUACGUGUUAAUCCAGUCCUGGUUGUUCCGGGGUGGGAUCAUGAUAUUGGCUAUGAUGGUCUAAGUGCUAAAGGGACUUUGGUUAAAGAAAAGAUACAUAUGUCUUACUCGGGCAAAGUGACAGAGAACAACCUCAUGAAAAUGAAAGGUGCAGACGUGCAGCUGGAAAUGGCCAGCUUGGUUGUACAUGGAGAGGAGGGUAAUAGAUCAACCUCCCUAGGUUUCGAGAUGCAAAAAAAAGACUUGGGAUGAAUUGUCUUGCACUCUUCGAAGUGAUUCCAAUUUUAUGAAACACAAUGCUGCGGCUGGUCUAGCUACAACGCUCUUGGGUGAUUCGGUGUCUGCGGGGGUGAAAGCAGAACGUAAGUUGGUUGCUAAUAAAAGGUUCGGAAUGGAUGUGUGUGGUGGUGGGGCAAUGACUUGUCGAGGUGAUGCGGCUUAUGGGGGUAGUUUAGAAGCUCACUUGCUUGGUAGUUUUUUUUUAUCUACUCUGGGACUUUCUGUGGUGGAUGGGCAUGGGAGUCUUGCUAUCGGAGGGAAUAUUCAGACCCAAGUGCACAUAGGACGUUCAUCUGAUCUAACUGCUCGUGCUAAUCUGAACAGCAGAGGGGCAGUGCAAGUAAGCAUCCGGGCAAACAUCUUUGAACUGCUCGAACAUGCUAUGGCCGUACUUGUUCCUCUAUUUAAGAAGCUACUUAGUUAUUAUUCCCCUAAUUAGCACCUAGUUGUUUUUGUUCAUGUCUUAUCUCUGGAUUUUGCAUUAAGCCUUGAUAAAAAUUUAUGUUGCAGUUUACUUAUUGACGUUAAAGACACCCAUCACCGUUGUUGGAAGAUAUUGAUAUCACUAUUUACUGUUUGUCAAUAUCUCAAUUUUUUUGAUAACAAGAUUAUUACUGAAAGAGACAUGACUAUUAUUGUUCACACACACAGUAAUUUACUGUUUACUGUUUAUCACACACACACAGUAAGACACAACUAUUCAAUCUAAAGUCACGACUCUCACACACACCUUUUAGUACAACAGUACAACUUAAUAACUAAAUAACAUACAACCAAAAGCUCAAUUACAAACUAACAACCCUCUGGGUAAGCCAUAUAAAUACAAAGCGGUGUCUCUUAACUUACUCCUUUUUUUUUGCACUCUUCCGCACUUUUCCGUGUUCCGUUUAUAUAAUUAGUGACCGAUUGUUAAGGAUUUUGCUGUAUGUAGUUGAUAAUAUCCAUUGGGUUUGUCAAUGAUGGUCUUUAUGAUUUAGUCACCACUGUUAAGCUGAUGAAUUCUCUCAAAAGAUACGUUGAGUGUUAUAAAAUCCAUAUGAAUCUAGCCACCAGAGUGGCAUAAUACAUAUUCUUCUUGAGACACAUAAAAUGGAUCUCACUCAUUCACCGAAGCCAGAAGUGUGACAAAGUUAUCAGACCACCAGAAAAUGUAGUCUUGUGUAGCACAAACUUAUAUACCAUGCAAGCAAAUCAAAGAUAUCUCCGGAUGCAUAUAAUACUGGCAUAUCAUCAACAAAGAACUUGAAGGUAGUUGAGUUUCUACGAUCUAACCACAAAAUUUAACAAGUUUAAGAACUAGCGAAUAUCUAAGUGCCAAAUGAAUGUGAAUAUUAUUGUGAUGGAUUCGAGAUAUCAAGUGAAAGUGGAUAAAAGUGAUUGCCUUUUGCCAAAAUUCACUGCACUUUUGCACUUUUUCCUUAGACAAUUUCUCAGAGCCAUGUAAAGUGGAGAAUCCGCACAAAACUUAAAAUACAAAGCUUUAUAUGGUCCCUGAACUCUUGUUCUCUUCUCUUUUUCUCAAGAAAACAAGCACUUAUCCUUAAAUCUCAAAAAAAAUAAAGUAUUAGCAACCAUAUAAAUUGAUAAAUGAUAAAAACACAUAACCGAUAUAAUGUUCAUCUCUCUAUCUCUGAAAUUGAGUCAUAAUUUUUUAAAAAAUUGCAAAUUACAUACAAGGCCUCCAAAACAUGUGAGAGAAGUUUCAAAACCACAGUAGACAAAAGAUAUAUAAUAAGCAAACCACUUCUUUCUUGAACCGCAGGUGAAAAAAGGCUAACCACAUAUCACUCUUCAUGAGCUAGAACCACGUUAAAAUCUCCACUAUUUUCCAUUAUUAAAGCGGUAAAAGCAUAGAUGCCUCAGAUUUAUUUACUUACUUAAUUAUACGGUAUAGAUAUCAAACUUUAGCAGAUAAUUUAAGGAACCUAGAGAGUCUUUUCUUUUAGAUAUCAAUGAUAAUGAAACCAUUCCAUAACAUUUCUCCAUGCCAUUACAUUCCUCAUAAAAACAGUAAAUAACAAGAAGUCAAAGUGUAUCAUAGUUCAAACUCUUCCCUUAUUUGAAAGAGUAUGUUAUUUGAAAGUGUAACAAGAAGUCAAAGUGAAUCAAUACGAGACCACUAGCCGGAUACGAAACAAUAUCAAGACCUAGACCCUAGACAAUAGGGAACCAAACUGAAUUAUUGCAAGAGUCACAAAAGCAGUAGGGAUCAAACUACUCGGGAACUCCAUUCGUCUGAAAAAAUUGGAUAUCCUAGAGGAGAAGGGCACAUGAUCUAGAUGUUGAAGUCCAUAUGUCCUCAUCAUGUCCGGAACAGAAUCCAAACGUCCAAGUGGGACCAAAUCUUCAACAAAAGGAGAUAUCACACAAAUAUCUCUAUGAACGCAGUGAACUACAUCUGUCUCUGGGUAAUAUUUGAACAACCUCUUGCAGUUGUCAUGGAAAAAAAGAUUUCCUUGCUUAGAAACCGCCACUGGCCUAGCCCAAAACCAUAAAGGGAAAACGCCGUCGUAACGGUGCUCGGAAGGGAAUAAACGUAUGGUAUAAAUCACGCUCCAUGCUUCAUCUUGUGGUACAUGCAAGCACCAUAUCUUCACAUUCCAAUGAUGAUUACUAAAAUAGGUUGCGGCUAAGGCCAGCCGGUUUUCAAGGUUUGCUACUUGGCAUGAAGUUCCUAGUGUUCCCUGCGGUAGUGUAAGGUCACGCCACUCUUCUGUGUGAAGAUUCAAAGCUAAAAGUUUGUGCCGAGGAAUUACUUCUACCCAGUAGAUGGACCCAUUCACACAUGUCGACUUCCAUCUAAACCCUAACACAUAAGGAGGUGGACUCAGUCUCCUCCAUCUCCCAAUGUUAACAUCAAGAAUCUCGCUACGACGAAUCUCCAAAUCAUCGUUAAAACAUAUCCUCACCAUCUUAUAUCUCUCAGUGAUAUUGUCUUUACCGAAUCCCAUCCUCCAACAUCUAGGGAAGAUAAGCUCGUUCUCGUCGACCUCGCCGGCUGCAGCCUUGCUGGUAGGUCCCAGCUUCCCCAUCCUUGCAGUCUACUACUCAUCUUUCUCUCCCUAUCAAUUUCUCUGCCAUGGCCUCUCCGAGCUCCACCUUGCCGUCUCCGUCGAGUAACAGUGGCAAGCUUCAAGAUCAUCUUCUUCUGACCUUAGGAGCUUCAUCAGCAAAGUCUAAUGGUGCUAUGGGCUCUGAAUCCUUGCUCCACCAAGAGGCCAACUCUGCUACUCUGGCCUCUGUCUCUCCUCCUUUGUCUCUGUCUCCAUCUGUUGAAGCCAGCGGUACACAUGUUUCUCUGCCAGUUCUCAACGCACAAGCAGCUCCACUGGUUUACAAGUGUGAUUCACAAGUACCCCAUCAUGUGCCUGCUCCUCCACUGAUUGCUACCCAAGCUUCUCUUUCUCAGUUUGUGCCUUCUUUGGGUUCAUGGGCUAAACCACUCAUCUUCAAGCCCCCCGUUACUCCUCCUGACCCAAGUACUCUAAGAGGUUACGACCUUGCGCUUGUGGGAAAUCAACUUGCUGCUCUUUGGCCAACUCUUAAUGAUGAAAUCUUGAACAAGCAACACAAGAGCAAGCAUCCUACUCGCUCCCUGCAGAUUCCGAUAGAGAAAAUGCCACCUCCGGAGCUUAAAGCUGAUGGCACUCUCCGCUUCCCAUGGGCUGCAAGAUUGGGUCCCCAAUCACGCAAUCUGUAUCGGGCAGCUUCACCUACCUACCGAUUCGAUGGUACACCUGAGGUAUCAAUCCCUUCUAAAGUCCUUAGAUUAGGACCCGAGAAUAAGGAUGAAUAUGUUAUUGGAAAAUUUUAUAAAUGUUCUUUACCUCCGGGUGGCCUAGUUCAUGCUGUAGUCAAUAGACUUUGGGGAAGAAGCUGUAAGAUUUCUUGUAAGAAGCUUAAUGAUUCAUCGUAUAUGUUUCAUAUCCCAUAUCAACCUACUCGUCAAUGGAUUAUUCAAAGAGGAGUAUGCCAUAUUGACAAUUGCUUGCUUUUUGUGUUGCCGUACACUCCAGAGGGUUCAUUUAAAAUUCCAUAAGUUUCAACUCUUCCGGUAUGGGUGACUUUGAAGGACAUUCCCGACUGCUGCUACUCUAGAUUGGGUAUUAGUCAUGUUGCCUCUGGUCUCGGUGAGCCCAUCUUAACACAUAAACCUCGUCUAGAUCCUACCAACAUGGGUGAAGCCAAAGUAUUGGUGGAAAUGGAAUUGGAUAAGGACUUUCCAAAGCUUAUAGCUCUUGAUGAUAAACAAGGCAAUAUUUUUCUGGUUAAGGUUGACUAUACUUGGAUCCCUACUACUUGUGAGAGGUAUGGGUGUUUAGGCCACAAAGAGAAGAGGUGCCUUCAGCAUCCCAAAGUUCCAGAGAAUUCUACCUUGCCGUCAAAUUCAGUGGCUAUUAGUGCGGAUGUACCUGUUGUGGAUAUUGACAUCAUUAUUCAUCAAAAUGAGAAUGAUGCCCCAUCCACUUCAACAUUUCAACAAAAAUAGCUCACUGACCAAGAAACCACCACUUCUAAAGUUGCUCCAAGCUCAGGUUCGGAUUUUGUUACUGAUCAUGAACCACUGUUUGUUUCCUCAGAUGUUUCUACAGAAAGCCAAGUUGCACCUGCUGCAUCGCCAAGCUUGAUCACUUCUACAGCCAUCUUAGCAGAUGUUCUAUCUGCUCAUGCUGCCACUACAACACCCAUUAUGGAAACUGUUCCAUCAAACAAUAUCAGCAAGGAGGUCCAAAAAACCUCUGUUGUUGACCCUGUAACCACAACACCUAACGCUAAUGUAUUCGAGAGUCCUUCUUGUUUCUCUGUGCUAGGUGACGUGGAUGAAGCUGAGUUAGAGUCAAUGGGCUCUCUCAGCUUGACAAGAGGUGGGAGAGAGACAAAACCUCCUAUCAAAUACCAAGACUUGGAAUGGAAGACAAUACAAUGGAAAGGAAAACAUGGUCCGCGUGGCCGAGGAUCCAAACGCUAGCUACUGUCUUUUAUUUCAUAGUUGGUUUUGCUAAUUUCUACCUAAGUAGUUUCAUAGGUAUGAGAUUUUAACUAUCAUAAUGUGCUCAUGUAAGCUUUAUCUCGCUAUAGGGUUUUAUCACUCUAUCCUGUAAACGUUUUAUGCUAUUUAAAUUUGAAAGCCUUUAGUCAAAAAAAAAAACAUCUAGGGAAAAUCUCAAAUCGAGGAUCUAAGAAAUCACGCGAUAUCAUUGUCUCUGGACCGGAAGAGAAUCUAAGAAACACUCCAGUGGAAGGGUUGAAAACUUUGACCCAACCAGGUACGGGGAUGCAGACAAGACUGCACAUGACAGCGACGACCGUGAGGCGGCGACAUUGCUGUGUAAGACAUUGCUGUGUAAGUAGACCAUCUCUAUCUCUUCGUCCAUGUGUAAUUCAUGUUGGAUUAGGUUUCGGUCUACUGCCACUAUGAUUCUCAGUUUCUUUUGAAUAUUCACCAUACGCCUACCCUCGCGAACCUCUUCGACUCCAGUAUUGAUCUCCAUUAUUUUGAGACGAUUUUGAAUUUUAGGAUGGAUUUCAAUGGCAGACCAAGGAAGAUCUCUUCUAGUACCUCGGGAACUAGGUACAUGGGACUAGGGUUUAUGUUGGAAUUUGUGAUAAAAACAAAAGUACUGAAUUUGCUCUAAGAAUACGAACAGUCAGAAAGAGUCUGAAUAAAUAGUUAUUGGAUCUAAAGAGCUUACAUAUAUGUCUAGUAAAUCUUUAAACUUUAAAAAAUAGAAUGUCAAUUAAUGGAAUGAUAGAAGUUAUGGAAUAAAAUUAAUGGAAUGAAAUCAUUGCAGAGAAAUAUUUUUGUAGCAAAAUUGGUAACCUUUCAGAGGAAUUAAAUGGAAUGAAAUUUAUUUUUAAUUUAAAUUAUUAAGAAUAUGUUAAACUAUACCAAUAAAACUGUUCAAGUGUUUUCUCAAGAGCGAUUAGUUUGAUAUGGACGUCGUAAUUAUAAGCCCAAUGUGUUAAAGGCCCAGUGGAAAGCGGAAACAUGAGUUUCGUGUAAAUAACUAAAUACGCAAAGCCUUGGAAAAGAGUGAUAGGGGAAACCGAAAGUUCAACAGUCAAAAUCGAACCAGACCGGUUUAGUCACCAACCGCUUCGGUUUAGCUCUGAGAGUCCGGUCCGUGUCUAUGUCAGAUCAAAGAGACGAAGACGAAGACGAAGAAGAAGAAGAAGAUACAUGGCGGGACUUCUAGCUUGGGCUGCUGACGUCGUCGGUAAAAACGGAAAAGACGGAUGCGACGAGGAGGAGGAUCAGAUCCCACUGGUUCUCACGGAGGAGCAGCAGAGAUACGUCGACGAGCUCGGCCGAAAAGCGACAACGCUCAGCCGUUCGAUCCAAGAUCUACGGCUCAGAUUGCCUCCGCCGGAUAUCUCCCAGCGUCUACCUCACCUCCUCGCUCACUCCCUCGCCUCCAACGCCGCUCUCGCUCUCCAGCUCGAUUCGCAUUCCGCUACUCGUGAACAGGUGCUUCCCUCGAUCUCUGCUAAUGAAUUGGAUAUGCC
rnacentral:lncRNA from 1 species